AUGAGGGUUCCAGAGAAGAGGAAGGUCAGAUGGGAGGAGGGAAGCAUAACUAAGGGGUACAGGGAGCCAAUUGGACAAAGUCUAGGCAUAAAGACCAAUCACCAAGCAAACAAAACAACAAAAAAAGAGGGUCUGGAUUCACAGAAGGAUGAUCAAAACUCAGAGGUUCUCUCAGACCAACCUCUCUGGAGGAAUCCCCAAAGAGAACCUAAUCACUACAGUACUUUCUUUUUGACUUUUAACUGA
rnacentral:lncRNA from 1 species